UACGAAGGGGGCUAGCGUUGCUCGGAAUCACUGGGCGUAAAGGGCGCGUAGGCGGCCAUUCAAGUCGGGGGUGAAAGCCUGUGGCUCAACCCGACAGAAUUGCCUUCGAUACUGUUUGGCUUGAGUAUGGUAGAGGUCAGUGGAACUGCGAGUGUAGAGGUGAAAUUCGUAGAUAUUCGCAAGAACACCAGUGGCGAAGGCGGCUGACUGGACCUUACUGACGCUGAGGCGGCGAAAAGCGG
rnacentral:rRNA from 1 species